GAUGAACGCUGGCGGCGUGCCUAAUACAUGCAAGUAGAACGCUGAAGGAGGAGCUUGCUCUUUCCGGAUGAGUUGCGAACGGGUGAGUAACGCGUAGGUAACCUGCCUGGUAGCGGGGGAUAACUAUUGGAAACGAUAGCUAAUACCGCAUAACAGUAGAUAUUGCAUGAUAUUUGCUUGAAAGGGGCAAUUGCUCCACUACCAGAUGGACCUGCGUUGUAUUAGCUAGUUGGUGAGGUAACGGCUCACCAAGGCGACGAUACAUAGCCGACCUGAGAGGGUGAUCGGCCACACUGGGACUGAGACACGGCCCAAACUCCUACGGGAGGCAGCAGUAGGGAAUCUUCGGCAAUGGACGGAAGUCUGACCGAGCAACGCCGCGUGAGUGAAGAAGGGUUUCGGAUCGUAAAGCUCUGUUGUAAGAGAAGAACGAGUGUGAGAGUGGAAAGUUCACACUGUGACGGUAUCUUACCAGAAAGGGACGGCUAACUACGUG
rnacentral:rRNA from 1 species